CCUACGGGUGGCAGCAGUGAGGAAUAUUGGUCAAUGGGCGGGAGCCUGAACCAGCCAAGUCGCGUGAGGGAAGACGGUCCUAUGGAUUGUAAACCUCUUUAGGCGGGGAGCAAUGCCGGGCACGUGUGCCCGGAGGGAGAGUACCCGCAGAAUAAGCAUCGACUAACUCCGUGCCAGCAGCCGCGGUAAUACGGAGGAUGCGAGCGUUAUCCGGAUUUAUUGGGUUUAAAGGGUGCGUAGGCGGAUUUUUAAGUCAGCGGUAAAAGGUCCGGGCUCAACCCGGGCCGGCCGUUGAAACUGGGAUCUUGAGUGGGCGAGAAGUAUGCGGAAUGCGUGGUGUAGCGGUGAAAUGCAUAGAUAUCACGCAGAACUCCGAUUGCGAAGGCAGCAUACCGGCGCCCGACUGACGCUGAGGCACGAAAGCGUGGGGAUCGAACAGGAUUAGAUACCCGUGUAGUC
rnacentral:rRNA from 1 species